rnacentral:rRNA from 1 species
UGGGGAAUCUUGGGCAAUGGGGGAAACCCUGACCCAGCCAUGCCGCGUGAAUGAUGAAGGCCUUAGGGUUGUAAAGUUCUUUUACCAGGGACGAUGAUGACGGUACCUGGAGAAUAAGCUCCGGCUAACUUCGUGCCAGCAGCCGCGGUAAUACGAAGGGAGCUAGCGUUGUUCGGAAUUACUGGGCGUAAAGCGUGCGCAGGCGGCUUUUUAAGCCAGAGGUGAAAUGCCAAGGCUCAACCUUGGAACUGCCUUUGGAACUGGAAAGCUGGAGUACUGGAGGGGUUAGGGGAAUUCCUAAUGUAGCGGUGAAAUGCGUAGAUAUUAGGAGGAACACCAGCGGCGAAGGCGCCUAACUGGACAGUCACUGACGCUCAUGCACGAAAGCGUGGGGAUCAAACAGGAUUAGAUACCCCCGUAGUCC